rnacentral:rRNA from 1 species
CAGGCCUAACACAUGCAAGUCGAACGAUGCUUUCGGGCAUAGUGGCGCACGGGUGCGUAACGCGUGGGAAUCUGCCCUUUGGUCUGGGAUAACUGUUGGAAACGACAGCUAAUACCGGAUGAUGACGUAAGUCCAAAGAUUUAUCGCCAGAGGAUGAGCCCGCGUCGGAUUAGCUAGUUGGUGGGGUAAAGGCCUACCAAGGCGACGAUCCGUAGCUGGUCUGAGAGGAUGAUCAGCCACACUGGGACUGAGACACGGCCCAGACUCCUACGGGAGGCAGCAGUGGGGAAUAUUGGACAAUGGGCGAAAGCCUGAUCCAGCAAUGCCGCGUGAGUGAUGAAGGCCUUAGGGUUGUAAAGCUCUUUUACCCGGGAUGAUAAUGACAGUACCGGGAGAAUAAGCUCCGGCUAACUCCGUGCCAGCAGCCGCGGUAAU